rnacentral:rRNA from 1 species
CAGUCGAGCGGUAGCACAGAGAGCUUGCUCUCGGGUGACGAGCGGCGGACGGGUGAGUAAUGUCUGGGAAACUGCCUGAUGGAGGGGGAUAACUACUGGAAACGGUAGCUAAUACCGCAUAAUGUCGCAAGACCAAAGUGGGGGACCUUCGGGCCUCAUGCCAUCAGAUGUGCCCAGAUGGGAUUAGCUAGUAGGUGGGGUAACGGCUCACCUAGGCGACGAUCCCUAGCUGGUCUGAGAGGAUGACCAGCCACACUGGAACUGAGACACGGUCCAGACUCCUACGGGAGGCAGCAGUGGGGAAUAUUGCACAAUGGGCGCAAGCCUGAUGCAGCCAUGCCGCGUGUGUGAAGAAGGCCUUCGGGUUGUAAAGCACUUUCAGCGGGGAGGAAGGCGUUAAGGUUAAUAACCUUGGCGAUUGACGUUACCCGCAGAAGAAGCACCGGCUAACUCCGUGCCAGCAGCCGCGGUAAUACGGAGGGUGCAAGCGUUAAUCGGAAUUACUGGGCGUAAAGCGCACGCAGGCGGUCUGUCAAGUCGGAUGUGAAAUCCCCGGGCUCAACCUGGGAACUGCAUUCGAAACUGGCAGGCUAGAGUCUUGUAGAGGGGGGGUAGAAUUCCAGGUGUAGCGGUGAAAUGCGUAGAGAUCUGGAGGAAUACCGGUGGCGAAGGCGGCCCCCUGGACAAAGACUGACGCUCAGGUGCGAAAGCGUGGGGAGCAAACAGGAUUAGAUACCCUGGUAGUCCACGCCGUAAACGAUGUCGAUUUGGAGGUUGUGCCCUUGAGGCGUGGCUUCCGGAGCUAACGCGUUAAAUCGACCGCCUGGGGAGUACGGCCGCAAGGUUAAAACUCAAAUGAAUUGACGGGGGCCCGCACAAGCGGUGGAGCAUGUGGUUUAAUUCGAUGCAACGCGAAGAACCUUACCUGGUCUUGACAUCCACAGAACUUUCCAGAGAUGGAUUGGUGCCUUCGGGAACUGUGAGACAGGUGCUGCAUGGCUGUCGUCAGCUCGUGUUGUGAAAUGUUGGGUUAAGUCCCGCAACGAGCGCAACCCUUAUCCUUUGUUGCCAGCGGUUCGGCCGGGAACUCAAAGGAGACUGCCAGUGAUAAACUGGAGGAAGGUGGGGAUGACGUCAAGUCAUCAUGGCCCUUACGACCAGGGCUACACACGUGCUACAAUGGCAUAUACAAAGAGAAGCGACCUCGCGAGAGCAAGCGGACCUCAUAAAGUAUGUCGUAGUCCGGAUUGGAGUCUGCAACUCGACUCCAUGAAGUCGGAAUCGCUAGUAAUCGUAGAUCAGAAUGCUACGGUGAAUACGUUCCCGGGCCUUGUACACACCGCCCGUCACACCAUGGGAGUGGGUUGCAAAAGAAGUAGGUAGCUUAACCUUCGGGAGGGCG